AGAUUGAACGCUGGCGGCAUGCCUUACACAUGCAAGUCGAACGGCAGCACGGGAGCAAUCCUGGUGGCGAGUGGCGAACGGGUGAGUAAUACAUCGGAACGUGCCCAAUCGUGGGGGAUAACGCAGCGAAAGCUGUGCUAAUACCGCAUAAGAUCUACGGAUGAAAGCAGGGGAUCGCAAGACCUUGCGCGAAUGGAGCGGCCGAUGGCAGAUUAGGUAGUUGGUGAGGUAAAGGCUCACCAAGCCUUCGAUCUGUAGCUGGUCUGAGAGGACGACCAGCCACACUGGGACUGAGACACGGCCCAGACUCCUACGGGAGCAGCAGUGGGAAUUUGGACAAUGGGCGAAGCCUGAUCCAGCCAUGCCGCGUGCAGGAUGAAGGCCUUCGGUUGUAAACUGCUUUUAGGUACGAACGAAACGUUCUUACUUUACUAAAGUAAAGAGGAUACAGUACGACGUAACGUAAGUAAUAAAGACAACCGGACUAACUACGUACG
rnacentral:rRNA from 1 species